rnacentral:misc_RNA from 1 species
AUUUUUGGUUUAAAAAGGAAAAAGGCCACAUUUUAGUAUUUUUUUUUUAAUUGCUAGGAUGGCAAAAACUUGUGUCGUUUGUGCCGCAUCAUAAUAAAAAGGUGAUUCAAGCCGAUCUUUUCACAAGCCAAAGUUAGCACAGUUGCCUUGUCCUUG